UACGGAGGGGGCGAGCGUUAUUCGGAAUUAUUGGGCGUAAAGGGCGCGUAGGCGGCGCGAUAAGUCAAAGGUGAAAUCCCUCGGCUCAACUGAGGAACUGCCUUUGAGACUGUCGAGCUCGAGGCCGGGAGGGGGGUAGCGGAAUUCCCAGUGUAGCGGUGAAAAUGCGUAGAUAUUGGGGAGGAAGGCCGGUGGCGAAGGCGGCG
rnacentral:rRNA from 1 species